GGCACCGGGCAUUGCUCAGUAACGGCGAGUGAAGCGGCAAAAGCUCAAAUUUUAAAGCUGGCACCUUCGGUGUCCGCGUUGUAAUUUUGUGAGGCAUCUCCGGGUAGGGCGCCGGCCUAAGUUCCUUGGAACAGGACGUCAUAGAGGGUGAGAAUCCCGUGCUUGGCUGGCUGUCCCCGUCCAUGUGAGGUGUCUUCGACGAGUCGAGUUGUUUGGGAAUGCAGCUCAAAAUGGGUGGUAAAUUUCAUCUAAAGCUAAAUAUUGGUGGGAGACCGAUAGCGCACAAGUAGAGUGAUCGAAAGAUGAAAAGCACUUUGAAAAUAGAGUUAAAAAGUACGUGAAAUUGUUGAAAGGGAAGCGCUUGAGACCAGACUUCGGUGGGGGGUGAUCAGCUGUCCUUCUGGGCGGUGCACUUGCUCCCCUCCGGGCCAGCAUCGGUUGGGGCGGCGGGAUAAAGAUCCCGGGAAUGUGGCUCCUUUCGGGGAGUGUUAUAGCCCGGGUGAAUGCCGCCAGUUCCGACCGAGGACCGCGCCUUCGGGCUAGGAUGCUUGGCAUAAUGGUCUUCAGCGACCCGUCUUGAACCACGGACCA
rnacentral:rRNA from 1 species